UACGUAGGGACCAAGCGUUGUUCGGAUUUACUGGGCGUAAAGGGCGCGUAGGCGGCGCGGUAAAUCACUUGUGAAAUCUCUGAGCUUAACUCAGAACGGCCAAGUGAUACUGCAGUGCUAGAGUGUGGAAGGGGCAAUCGGAAUUCUUGGUGUAGCGGUGAAAUGCGUAGAUAUCAAGAGGAACACCUGAGGUGAAGACGGGUUGCUGGGCCAACACUGACGCUGAUGCGCGAAAGCCAGGGGAGCAAACGGG
rnacentral:rRNA from 1 species